rnacentral:rRNA from 1 species
UUCGCAAUGCCCGAAAGGGUGACGAAGCGACGCCGCGUGUGGGAAGAAGGCCUUCGGGUUGUAAACCACUGUCGGGAGUUAAGAAAUGUAGGGAUGCUAAUAGUAUUCUUACUUGACUAAGGCUCCGGAGGAAGCCACGGCUAACUCUGUGCCAGCAGCCGCGGUAAUACAGAGGCGGCAAGCGUUGUUCGGAAUUAUUUGGCGUAAAGAGCACGUAGGCGGCUGUGUAAGUCGGUUGUGAAAGCCUUCCGCUUAACGGAAGAACAGCGACUGAUACUGCAUAGCUAGAGUGCGGGAGGGGAGAGUGGAACUUCUGGUGGAGCGGUGAAAUGCGUAGAUAUCAGAAGGAACGCCGGCGGCGAAAGCGGCUCUCUGGACCGUAACUGACGCUGAGUGUGCGAAAGCUAGGGGAGCAAACGGGAUUAGAUACCCCGGUAGUCCUAGCCGUAAACGAUGGGCACUAAGUAGAGGGGUUUU